UACGUAGGGGGCAAGCGUUGUCCAGAAUUAUUGGGCGUAAAGAGCGUGUAGGCGGUCCGGUAAGUCGGCUGUGAAAGUCCAAGGCUCAACCUUGGGAUGCCGGUCGAUACUGCCGGACUAGAGUUCGGAAGAGGCGAGUGGAAUUCCCGGUGUAGCGGGUGAAAAUGCGCAGAUAUCAGGAGGAACACCGGUGGCGAAGGCGGGGUCUCUGGGCCGAUACUGACGUGAGGAGCGAAAGCGUGGGGGAGCGAAACAGG
rnacentral:rRNA from 1 species